AUAGGGGAGCCGGAGGGAAACCGAGUCUUAAUUGGGCGUUAAGUUGCAGGGUAUAGACCCGAAACCCGGUGAUCUAGCCAUGGGCAGGUUGAAGGUUGGGUAACACUAACUGGAGGACCGAACCGACUAAUGUUGAAAAAUUAGCGGAUGACCUGUGGCUGGGGGUGAAAGGCCAAUCAAACCGGGAGAUAGCUGGUUCUCCCCGAAAGCUAUUUAGGUAGCGCCUCGUGAAUUCAUCUCCGGGGGUAGAGCACUGUUUCGGCUAGGGGGCCAUCCCGGCUUACCAACCCGAUGCAAACUGCGAAUACCGGAGAAUGUUAUCACGGGAGACACACGGCGGGUGCUAACGUCCGUCGUGAAGAGGGAAACAACCCAGACCGCCAGCUAAGGUCCCAAAGUCAUGGUUAAGUGGGAAACGAUGUGGGAAGGCCCAGACAGCCAGGAUGUUGGCUUAGAAGCAGCCAUCAUUUAAAGAAAGCGUAAUAGCUCACUGGUCGAGUCGGCCUGCGCGGAAGAUGUAACGGGGCUAAACCAUGCACCGAAGCUGCGGCAGCGAACGUAUCACCCAAGACAACUUUACGGAGUUGACGAUUGACGGAGCGAAGCGACGUCAAAGCGUUCAUUAAAGUCGAGUUGGCUUAGGGAUACGUUCGUUGGGUAGGGGAGCGUUCUGUAAGCCUGUGAAGGUGGCCUGUGAGGGUUGCUGGAGGUAUCAGAAGUGCGAAUGCUGACAUAAGUAACGAUAAAGCGGGUGAAAAGCCCGCUCGCCGGAAGACCAAGGGUUCCUGUCCAACGUUAAUCGGGGCAGGGUGAGUCGACCCCUAAGGCGAGGCCGAAAGGCGUAGUCGAUGGGAAACGGGUUAAUAUUCCCGUACUUGGUGUUACUGCGAAGGGGGGACGGAGAAGGCUAUGUUGGCCGGGCGACGGUU
rnacentral:rRNA from 1 species